UACGUAGGGUGCGAGCGUUAAUCGGAAUUACUGGGCGUAAAGCGUGCGUAGGCGGUUCUCCAAGUCCGUUGUGAAAGUCCCCGGGCUUAACCUGGGAAUGGCAGUGGAAACUAGGGGACUUGAAUCUGGCAGAGGGGGGUGGAAUUCCACGUGUAGCAGUGAAAUGCGUAGAGAUGUGGAGGAACACCGAUGGCGAAGGCAGCCUCCGUGGGCUGAGAUUGACGCUGAGUGCACGAAAGCGUGGGGAGCAAACAGG
rnacentral:rRNA from 1 species